rnacentral:rRNA from 1 species
AUGACUGUAUGCUGCCGUUCAGUUAAGGUUCUUGAUUUCUUGGGUAUAGACAAAAUUUCAUCAAAGCAUAUCCUCAAAAGGUGGACAAAAGAUGCAAGAGAUAUACUUCCAACCCACUUGUCACACCUACAAAGAGACAAGAUUUCAGCCAAUUCCAUAACAUUCAGACAUUCAAAUUUUUAUACACAUGCUUUAGAGGUUGUAAAACUUGGUGAUGCAAAUCCAAUUGCAUAUGAUUGUGCGAUGGAACUUCUUAGGGCAGCAAUGGAUAAACUAACAUAUUUAGCUGCUGAGCAUGAUGGUUUGGGUUUGCAACACAAGAUUGAAAUGAAGAAGACAAAAGGUACAUAA